rnacentral:sRNA from 1 species
CCUUCAUUUAUCUUGCGCAUGCUAACCUGGUCAGGAUCCGCAGCCCGGUAUGGAAUGCCGGGUCCGUAGAUUUCAAAAUACAAAUCUAUCCAUGCAAGCAUUUACCGCCAGUCUCUGGCGGUUUUUUUUUGCCAUGCUGACCAACAUGAAUUUUUUUCAACACCCAUGAAUUU